UUUCUGAGUUUUUCCUAAUUUUUGUGGUGUUUUAGUUCUAGGUCUGCUAACAAAUGACUAUAAUUUUGAUCGCAAGUUGACAAUCUUGGCCUAGAGUGCUUCUGAAGUGGGUUCAUUGAUUCUAGGUAUCAAAUACUGUUUUCAAAGGAGAAGAUGAUGGUGGUGGAGAGCUCUCUUCCUUAUAAGGACCUAAUUUGUUGAAAUGGGAAAAUGAUGGUACAGUAUUCAUGAGAAGGCUUUGGGUUUGGGGACAAAAUUAGGGAUCAAAUUAUCAAUGUAUAUUUUGGGCUGCGUUUAAUCCGAACAUGCAACAAGUUUAGGUAGAAAUUGGAGGGGAUUAGUGCUCAUAUAGUGGUAUACUGGAAAUGUUAUUAGGUUCAAGUGUUGCUUUAAACAAGAAGGAGAAAGAAAUUUACUGUCAAGACUGACUGAGAUUAAAAAGGAAUCGAGGCCAGAGGCUUUAUAUUUGGAUCACCCAUUGCACUAGCUAUUGGUGCAAAGUUUGUCCCACUGAGAAAACCAAGAAAGUUGCCAGUUUCCUUUGGGAUUUAUUAUGUGGAUAAACAACCUGAACACACUUUCUUGGUUUGGCUUCUGGAUGCUUGUCUGAAUUCCACGGAGAUACCAUUAGAGCCUCUUUUCAUUCAGAUAAACAUUCUGGAUCUCAUCAAGGAAUUCUACAGAUGAUGAUCCUUCUGUUAUGGUGAAUGGUCACUUUGAUAGUCCGCCUGGUUCUCCUGGUGCAGCGGACUGUGGUUCCUAUGAUGCAUCAAUGCCCGAAACAACACGGCAAAUAGUUGAUUCUAGCUAGGUCCCUCCGCGACAAAUAAUUUUUCUUUUCAAUGGUGCUGAGGAAGUUUUUCUUUUGGAUAUAUUUGGCAUCAUUCCUGGGGAUACAGAUUACCAGAUUUUUUUGCUAAAGAUAAUGGCGAUAUUCAAGGACUGGACAU